AUUGAACGCUGGCGGCAUGCUUUACACAUGCAAGUCGAACGGCAGCGGGGUAGUGCUUGCACUACUGCCGGCGAGUGGCGAACGGGCGAGUAAUAUAUCGGAACGUACCGAGUAAUGGGGGAUAACCAAUCGAAAGAUUGGCUAAUACCGCAUACGUCCUGAGGGAGAAAGCGGGGGAUCGCAAGACCUCGCGUUAUUCGAGCGGCCGAUAACUGAUUAGCUAGUUGGUGGGGUAAAGGCCUACCAAGGCGACGAUCAGUAGCGGGUCUGAGAGGACGAUCCGCCACACUGGGACUGAGACACGGCCCAGACUCCUACGGGAGGCAGCAGUGGGGAAUUUUGGACAAUGGGGGCAACCCUGAUCCAGCCAUGCCGCGUGUAUGAAGAAGGCCUUCGGGUUGUAAAGUACUUUUGUUAGGGAAGAAAAGGGAAGUGCUAAUACCACUUUUUGCUGACGGUACCUAAAGAAUAAGCACCGGCUAACUACGUG
rnacentral:rRNA from 1 species